rnacentral:rRNA from 1 species
AAGGCCGGGAAGGCGCGCCUGAUGAGCACGCCGCGUGAGUGAUGUGGCCUUCGGAUCGUAAGCUCUGUAAUUUGCCCGGAAGACGUGCAGAAGAGGAGCCGGUGCCUUGACGGUUCCUGGCCAGAAAGCCACGGGCUACGUGCCAGCAGCCAUUGCGGUAAUACGGGAGCCAGCAGCCGCGGU